rnacentral:lncRNA from 1 species
UAAGAGAUUCAUAUAUUUUUACUCUAUUGAUAACUCGAAUUCAUAAACUUACAUUUAGAGAUGAAGUAAGCUUACAACUUGAGCAACCACAUCUUGUCAUGUAGUCCCAUUUUUCUGUCCAUUCAAACCAAUUACAUUUCUUAACUGAAUCAAAGAAGUAGGCACCAGACUAAAACCAGUUGGACUACAAUGUUACGUCUAAGAUUUGAGAUUCUUUCUAUUGGCUAUCAUGACAAGCUGUCGUAACAGAAUUUUCUCUCCAGGAUAGUAGUGAGUCAAAGUUUAAUUUACAAAAUUUUGAAAUCCAAUUUGCUUAUUGGAUUCGAAUAAAUUAUCUGUAAAUAUAAAAUUUGAGCUAUAAUUACUAG